rnacentral:rRNA from 1 species
AUUGAACGCUGGCGGCAGGCCUAACACAUGAAAGUCGAACGGUAGCACAGAGAGCUUGCUAUCGGGUGACGAGUGGCGGACGGGUGAGUAAUGUCUGGGAAAAUGCCCGAUGGAGGGAGAUAACUACUGGAAACGGUAGCUAAUACAGCAUAAAGUCGCAAGAGCAAAGUAGGGGACCAUCGGGCCUAACACCAACGGAUAUGCCCAGAUGGGAUUAGCUAGGAGGUGGGGUAAAUGCUCACCUAGGCGACGAUCCCUAGCUGGUCUGAAAGGAUGACCAGCCACACUGGAACUGCGUCACGGUCCAGACUCCUACGGGAGGCAGCAGUGAGGAAUAUUGCACAAUGGGCGCAAGCCUGAUGCAGCCAUGCCGCGUGUAUGUAGAAGGCCUCCGGGUUGUAAAGUACUUUCAGCGGGGAGGAAGGCGGUGGAGUUAAUAACUUCACCGAUUGACGUUACCCGCAGAAGAAGCACCGGCUAACUCCGUGCCAGCCGCCGCGGUAA